rnacentral:rRNA from 1 species
AGUGGGGAAUAUUGCACAAUGGGGGAAACCCUGAUGCAGCAACGCCGCGUGGAGGAUGACACAUUUCGGUGCGUAAACUCCUUUUAUAUAGGAAGAUAAUGACGGUACUAUAUGAAUAAGCGCCGGCUAACUCCGUGCCAGCAGCCGCGGUAAUACGGAGGGCGCAAGCGUUACUCGGAAUCACUGGGCGUAAAGAGCGUGUAGGCGGGUAGAUAAGUUUGAAGUGAAAUCCUAUGGCUCAACCAUAGAACUGCUUUGAAAACUGUCUACCUAGAGUAUGGGAGAGGUAGAUGGAAUUUCUGGUGUAGGGGUAAAAUCCGUAGAGAUCAGAAGGAAUACCGAUUGCGAAGGCGAUCUACUGGAACAUUACUGACGCUGAGACGCGAAAGCGUGGGGAGCAAA